AGGCAGUGAGAGGCCACCGGCCCUUUGUUGAUCUGCAGGGUAUCAAACUUCGAACAUGACAAGCAUAAAAGCCUGCAGCUCGAGGAGACAGGGUGUCACAAUUACCAGGGCGAAACUGCUGGGCUGCGAAAGGCGGGACAGGGAGUGGAACCGUCUUCAACCGUUCCGGGAGUUCUGGUGUCUGGUCCGCUCCCGGCUGUUGGUCGCAGGGCAGAGGGUCUAGGAUGCCAGCUGGCUGCGGGCUGGGAGAUGCAGGGUGUUUACUGCCACUCCAUUUCACUGGGAUUAGCACCCAUAUGCAUUGUGGUCUUUUUGUUUGAGUUCAUCAAACUUCUGAUCCUAAGUCUGCACCUUUAGCAUACUGGGCCUGAACCAUAAGGCACAAGGAAUGAGCCCCUCAUCGUGAGAGUGCAUGUGACAGGAGCAAAGGAAGCGGCAGCUCAGGAAAGACAAGAAAGAAAGAAUGUUGCCAGCUGAACCAAAACAUUCUACUGCUUGUAUGUCACCAUAUAAGAAACAUAUGUCUCCUGAUUCCAGAGAGUACUGGGGAUCAAUAUCGGACUACAGC